rnacentral:tRNA from 1 species
AAUAAACCUACCGAAUCCUAACUACUGAAUCAAAAUGAAAGAAAUAAAAUUGGAAUCCCUCGUCCUUUCCAACAAACCAAUCAU